rnacentral:lncRNA from 1 species
UUAUGAACAGUUUUUACAGCAACAUUUUGAUUCUUAUAUCUAGAACAAACCAAACGCAACAAACAAACAGAUUAAGAACACAACAGAACAGAACAUCAUCGUUGUAACUCGACACGAAAAACACAUAUUCGUCAUCAUAAACACCAUAAUUGCACAACACCAAAUCAAGUUUUGAUCUUUGAUUAGUUCUGCAAAAACCCAACUCAAUUUUGCAUUUAUAUGUAACAAGAUCUAGGGCAUCAUAUUAAAUUGCUAAACUUGAGAGACCAGAAAUUCAGAAUCUAAGACAAAACAAGCACAGACGUUGUACUUACUUUCCUUCGUACACUUUGGUAUGCGUGCCUUCCCCAAUCCUCGGACCAACAAAAAGAUGUUUUGGAUCGAUCAGCCACUUUGUGAAUGACAAACCAUGGGCUUUCGGAGUGCAAGAGGCGUUGACUGGUUCCCAUGUAUUUGUAUGUGCACAUGGUAGUCGAGAUAAUAGAUGUGGUGUUUGUGGACCUGUCCUCAUGGAUAAGUUCAAAGAGGAGGCUGAGCUGCGAGGAUUGACGAAUCAUGUAUUGUUACUGCUUGCUCUUACAUUGAAGGCCACAAAUAUGCUGGAAACUUGAUUAUCUACAGCCUGGGUUCAGAUGGAAGCAUAAC